rnacentral:rRNA from 1 species
GACGAACGCUGGCGGCGUGCUUAACACAUGCAAGUCGAACGAAGAGCGAUGGAAGCUUGCUUCUAUCAAUCUUAGUGGCGAACGGGUGAGUAACGCGUAAUCAACCUGCCCUUCAGAGGGGGACAACAGUUGGAAACGACUGCUAAUACCGCAUACGAUCUAAUCUCGGCAUCGAGGAUGGAUGAAAGGUGGCCUCUAUUUAUAAGCUAUCACUGAAGGAGGGGAUUGCGUCUGAUUAGCUAGUUGGAGGGGUAACGGCCCACCAAGGCGAUGAUCAGUAGCCGGUCUGAGAGGAUGAACGGCCACAUUGGGACUGAGACACGGCCCAGACUCCUACGGGAGGCAGCAGUGGGGAAUCUUCCGCAAUGGACGAAAGUCUGACGGAGCAACGCCGUGUGAGUGAUGACGGCCUUCGGGUUGUAAAGCUCUGUUAAUCGGGACGAAAGGCCUUCUUGCGAAUAGUUAGAAGGAUUGACGGUACCGGAAUAGAAAGCCACGGCUAACUACGUGCCAGCAGCCGCGGUAAUACGUAGGUGGCAAGCGUUGUCCGGAAUUAUUGGGCGUAAAGCGCGCGCAGGCGUAUUGGUCAGUCUGUCUUAAAAGUUCGGGGCUUAACCCCGUGAUGGGAUGGAAACUGCCAAUCU